rnacentral:lncRNA from 10 species
CAGAAGUCACCAUCUAUAAGAAACAGGCUCCCACCAGACACUGAGUCUGCUGGAGCCUUGAUCUUGAAUUUCCCAACCUCCAGAACUGUGGCCACCAGACUUUCUCUGCUUGUAUCCUCCCAGGACCACAGAACUCAUCGCAUCCCAAGGCAGCCUAUUCCAUCAUGGAUGAGCUCAAAGUGUUUGAAAGUUCUGCUUUAUCAAAACUCUUGAUGGCCUGCUUCCCAUCCUCCAUCCUGGAAGACUGAUCUGAAACCCCAGGAGGAGGUCCUCUGAGCCCUGAGGCAGAGAUCUCUCACCUGGAAGAUGGGUCUAAUGACUGCGCCCCACACACACCAGAGAGGACUGCAGAUAGUGCGGGAUGAGAGGAAGAUCUCUGGCCCUGGAGACAGCAUCAUCAAGCGGUAGCUUCAUCUUUGGGAGCUGGGGCCUCUGCAGGAGCUUUACCCUCCUCUCUCCAUGCUGAGCCUGUCUCAACCCCCUAACCUGCACCCCAGUCUUUUGGGGUCACCUCAAGGCUUUGGCUGAUGCUUCUUUGCUGACGUCAACCAAGGUGAUGGACCCAUUUGUCCUUGUAAAGUAACUCUUGAACAUACAGGCACUUCUCCCUCCCUCCUCUUGCUUUGAAGGGUGGGUGGGCACCUGCCACCAUGGUCAGGGUGAGGGCCAGCCCCAUACCCCCAAUGUCAGAAGGCAGCUGCCCCUGGCCUGUGGGUUUAUCUCAGAGGGGCCAGGUUUUCCUCACUGUGUGUCCCCAGCACCUAGCCUGGGGCCCAGCCCAGGGUCACACUCAGUAAAUACUGGCUGAGAAUUAAGGGGGAACUUUCUCGUUCCCCUCCAACACUUUUCUUUUCUUUUUUUUGAGACAGAGUCUCACUCUGUCGCCCAGGCUGGAGUGCAGUGGCGCGAUCUCGGCUCACUGCAACCUCCACCUCCCAGAUUCAAGUGAUUCUCCUGCUUCAGCCUCCCGAGUAGUUGGGAUUACAGGUGCCCGUCACCACAUCCGGCUAAUUUUUGUAUUUUUAGUAGAGACGGGGUUUUGCAUGUUGACCAGGCUGGUCUCGAACUUUUAACCUCAAGUGAUCCACCCGCCUUGGCCUCCCAAAGUGCUGGAAUUACAGGCAUGAGCCACCGCACCUGGCACCAAUGCUUUUCUGCAAGUGCUAGUGUGUGCCAUAGAGACAUCUGUGCAUGCCCAGGGGCGGCUGAGGGGCCAUAAGCCUCCUUUGACUCCAUUAUCUUGCCUGUGCAGGCCAGACGAUUGCCUGAACCCACAAUAGCUUCACCAGAAGAGGGGCUUACUCAUCACUUCCACACAACCUGUGCCCCUCCCCCACUGGGACCAGCUGGGGUUGAGGGGGUGAGGGUCAGGCUGGGGAAGGCUCCUGGAGAUUGCAUUUGCAACCUACCCCUCCCCUGCCAACCUCUAUUACCACACUGAGAGGAACAGGGAGACAUCACUAAAUUGAGGACCUAGGUAGAGAGAGAAGAAGAGAGUGUCCUGUCAGCCUUCAAAGGUUAUUCAGAGCUCUUGGUGCAGGAAGGCCCUGCUAGAAAACUCCAAGAGUCCAGGAGGGCCUUGGGCAUAAAAGCUCAGAGUUGUCCUCAAGAAGCAACUGCAUGGCAGUUAUAUCAGAUGCACAUUCAACAAUAAUAAUAGCAAAACCUUACACAGACCUACAAGCCCUUAUCCACACUUCAGAGAUCCCAGUGUUUCUGAACAAAAUAAUGUAACACCAAAACUCAUUGGGUAGCCAAAACCUAACCUGAACAGAUGUAUGAAUACUCGUAUAUUGUUUUCUGCAGAAAUAUUAAUGUGUUUCGUUAUGGGAUGCUAAGCCAGAUCCCACUACCCACUAGUGUGUUAUAUAAGUCAUGUGCUUUCCAAAAUCCCAAAACUCCCUAAAUUCCAAAAUGCAUCAGGAUCCUGAGACACUGGAGUUUCAGUUAAGGAGUUGUGACCUGUGUAGCUUCCUCCAUGACAGGCACUGUUCUAACUGCUCUCCAUAAUAUUAAUUCAUUCAAUCCUUACAAUGACCUGACAGAGUAGAACUUACUAUUAUUCUUCCAAUUUUAUAGAUAAGGAAACUGAGGCAGAGAGAGGUAAAGUGACUUGCCCAAACACAUACAGCUAAUGAAUGCUGCAACUGAAGCUUCCAGAGCCUAGUUCCAGAGCCCACUCUCCGAACAAGUCUACCAUCUAUUUCCCUUAAAAGGGCUGGUGAGGCCGGGCGCAGUGGCUCACACCUGUAAUCCCAGCACUUUGGGAGGCUGAGGUGGGUGGAUCACCUGAGGUCAGAAGUUUGAGACCACCCUGCCAACAUGGUGAAACCCCAUCUCUAUUAAAAAUACAAAAAUUAGGUGGGCGUGGUGGCGGGCACCUGUAAUCUCAGCUACUCGGGAGGCUGAGGCAGGAGAACUGCUGGAACCCAGGAGGCAGAGGUUGCAGUGAGCCGAAUCCGUGUCAUUGCACUCCAGCCCAGGCCAACAACAGCAAGAAUUCGUAUUAAAAAAAAGGCUGGUGAGAGGGGCGUGGAGGUUGAGGGGUGUGGUAAACUGUAGGAGAUAACGAUUUUAUGUUGUGUGUGUGCUAUGGUUUGGAUGUGGUUUGUCUCCUCCAAAAUGCAUGUAGAAACUUGGUCCCCAAUGUAAUGGUAUUGGGAGGUGGGGCCUUUAAGAGGGGAUUAGGUCAUUAGGAGGGAUUAAUGCCUUUCUCACAGGAGUGGGUUAAUUCUCACAGAAGUGGGUGAGUUAUUGAGAGCAGUUCAUUACAAAAGUGAGUUUGGCUUCCUCGGCUUUCUCUUGCUUCCUCGGCUUUCUCUUGCUUCCUCUCACCCUACGAUGCAUUCUGCUGUGUUACAACACAGCACGAGGCCCUCACCAGAAGCUGACCAGAUCCAGCCACCCUGUCUUGGACUUCCCAGCCUCCAGAACUGUAAAAAACAAACCCCUUUUCUUUGUCAAUUACCCAGUCCCAUGGGUUCUAUGACAGCAACAGAAAGUGGACAAAUUGUGUAACAUGCACAUGUCCAGGAGGGUGUGUGAGAGGUAAUCCUGUUGUUACGGUUGUUCUGUAGGGUGACCACAAUUGGGAAUUUCCCUGGGACUGUUUUGGUUUUAGCACUGAAAACUCUGUAUUUCAAUAAACUACUCAGACCUGGUAAACCAGGAUGGUUGGUCACCCUAGUUCUUGGCCUCUUUUCCUAUGAGCAACAUGAGGCUCAUGACCCACUGAGGAAGAUUCUAGGAUCUGAAGAUGCACUUUGUCUACAUAACACAGCUUCUCAACCCAAACCAGGAUCUCCAGCAGGCACUUACUCAAGACAUGGGGAAGAAGCCCCGGAGAAAAUGCUGGCUGUAUCAGAUUCAGUGAGGGACGAUGCCUCUGUCUCCACCUGGCAUCUUCCUAAGAGGUUUUCAAGGACCAAUGUGACUCUAUCAGGCUUUCACCUUGAGUGUUGAUGCUGGCCUCCAUUGUAAAUACAGUGGGAAUACACUUGAUAUUCUAAUUUAGAAAUGCCUGACUCUCAUCCCCAGCUUUGAAUUUUAACUCCUCAAAGUCCAAAGUGACUUCUUAGGAAUGACCCACACCAUGAGCUCAUAUCUAUCUUCCUGAGGCCUGCCCAGACCUGUCGAAGUAGAGAGAAGAAGACAAGGCCCCUGCUCUUGAGAAGCAGAAAACGUAUGAGGAAGAAAAUAGCAGAUGAGAAGAAUCAACCAAAUUCCGGAAGCUGGAAGGCAGAUGGAAGAAGGCCCUUGAAUGAUGCCAGCACCUUGAUAUUGGACUUUCCAGCCUCCAGAACCAUGAGCCAAUACAUUUCUGUUCCAUAAAAAUUACCCAGUUCCAGGUAUUCUGCUAUAGCAGCACAAAAUGGACUAAAACAAUGUUGGCACAAGACUCAGUGCUGGGCCUGGCAUGCAACAGGUCCUUGGAGUGGCGUGCUGUGUGGAUAAUGAAUAUUGGGGAAGGCAUCUCUCUCCAGCCCCUCUCAAGCUUUCUGUAGUCACUGGUCCACUCUGUAUUGCUAUGAAGAAGCUCAAGACCAGCCUGUAUCACUCGGGGUCCUGGCAGGAACCAGGUGCCACACUCAAACUGAGUAAUUGAAGAGGGUUUAAUAUGGGAGUUAUUUACAUAGGUGUGGGCUGGUGUAGCUGCCCAUAUGCCCUCAAAAUCACCUCUACAUGGCAAUAGCUACUUACUGCUAACAGAGUCUCUCUCUCAUUGCUGCAAAUAUUUUCUAGCCAUGCAAGAAACUCAGCCGGUCAUGUUGAACAAACUAAGAGUGCCAGGAAGUUAAUGUCCUGGAAGCAUUGCCAGAGGGGAGGGGGCAGUUAGAUUCCCCAGCUUCCUCGCUCCUCUGCUGGGUUAAGCCUGCAACAUAUUCAUCAUCUCCCAGAGUGCUGCCCAGGGAUAGAGCUCCAGGUGCUCAGUGUGGUGACCUGCUCAUGUCAGCUUCUUCCCCUUUCCUGUCUUGUUUCGCACCCACAUCCUUCCCAUGUUUCCUCUUCCCAAAUAAACUACUUGCAUUGAAAUCUUUGUCUCAGGCUCUGCUUCUGGGGAAACCUGAAC